UGAGUGCGAGCGGCUACGGCCGCGAAGUGGGUGACGUCAAGCUUCCAAGAAAAGCCCUAUACCCGUUAAGGCAUGAUGGCCUGUACCCGAAACCGACACAGGUGGGGUGGUAGAGAAUACCGAGGGGCGCGAGGUAACUCUCUCUAAGGAACUCGGCAAAAUGGCCCCGUAACUUCGGGAGAAGGGGUGCCACCGCAAGGUGGUCGCAGUGAAGAGGCCCAGGCGACUGUUUACCAAAAACACAGGUCUCCGCUAAGUCGCAAGACGAUGUAUGGGGGCUGACGCCUGCCCAGUGCCGGAAGGUUAAGGAAGCUGGUCAGCGCAAGCGAAGCUGGCGACUGAAGCCCCGGUGAACGGCGGCCGUAACCAUAACGGUCCUAAGGUAGCGAAAUUCCUUGUCGGGUAAGUUCCGACCCGCACGAAAGGCGUAACGAUCUGGGCGCUGUCUCGGAGAGAGGCUCGGCGAAAUAGAAUUGUCUGUGAAGAUGCGGACUACGUGCACCCGGACAGAAAGACCCUAUGAAGCUUUACUGUAGCUUGGUAUUGUGCCCGGGCUCUGAAUGCGCAGGAUAGGUGGGAGGCUUUGAUCCAUGGCUUGCGGGUCAUGGUGAGCCAACGGUGAGAUACCACUCUUUCAGAGCUAGGGUUCUAACGGUCACCCGUCAUCCGGGGACCGGACAGUAUCAGGUGGGCAGUUUGACUGGGGCGGUCGCCUCCUAAAAGGUAACGGAGGCGCGCAAAGGUUUGCUCAGGCUGGUUGGAAAUCAGCCGACGAGUGCAAAAGCAGAAGCAAGCUUGACUGUGAGACCUACAAGUCGAACAGGGACGAAAGUCGGCUUUAGUGAUCCGACGGUUCUGAGUGGAAGGGCCGUCGCUCAACGGAUAAAAGUUACUCUAGGAUAACAGGCUGAUCUCCCCCAAGAGUUCACAUCGACGGGGAGGUUUGGCACCUCGAUGUCGGCUCAUCGCAACCUGGGGCUGAAGUCGGUCCCAAGGGUUGGGCUGUUCGCCCAUUAAAGCGGUACGCGAGCUGGGUUCAGAACGUCGUGAGACAGUUCGUCCAUAUCCGGUGCACGCGCAGGAACAUUGAGAGGAUUUCUCCCUAGUACGAGAGGACCGGGAGGAACGCACCUCUGGUGUGCCAGUUAUCGUGCCAACGGUAAACGCUGGGUAGCCAUGUGCAGAGUGGAUAACCGCUGAAAGCAUCUAAGUGGGAAGCCCACCUCAAGAUGAGUGUUCCCAUGGCAUAAGCCAGUAAGGUCACGGGAAGAACACCCGUUGAUAGGCUCUACGUGGAAGCCGGGUAACCGGUGAAGCGGAGGAGUACUAAUAGACCGAGGGCUUGAC
rnacentral:rRNA from 1 species